CGUUCUCAUCCGAUCACGGAAGUUAAGCAGCGUCGGACGCAGUCAGUACUUGGAUGGGUGACCGUCUGGGACCACCGC